UGAGACUCAAAAUCUCAAGUUGCUUAGGCGACGUGCGGGUUCAAGUCCCGCCCUCGGCA
rnacentral:tRNA from 1 species